rnacentral:lncRNA from 1 species
GAAAUAUAUCAGAUAUCCAAAUAGAUGAAUUGAUACAAAUCCAAGGAUUAGUAUUCUAAAUAUGGAAUAUUUUACUCAUUCCAGUGAAGCACAUGUAGCUUAUCUGUUAGUGGAAAUUUAUAUUUGUUUAUUUAUUUAUAUAUUGUGAUAGAAGUUGGGGUUUGGACCAAUUUUAAAUACACAAAGCAUUUCAGUCCAGAUUAUAAACAUGGGGUUCGGACCAAUUUUAAAAUACACAAAUCAUUUUUGGUCCAGAUUAUAACAGUUGUUACUAUGGAUCUAUUCACAUCAGAUGUUUAGAUCUGUCUUAACUUUAAGAUUAUAGUGGUCUUCUUCCAUGGUGAUGAUGAUUGUAACUUGGGACCAUCUACUCUAUGAUACUGUUUCCUUAUUUUUGUUGUAACUAGGGUUUCUCUUGGAUGUUUAAACUCUUAGAGAUUCAACCUAAGUUGUUGUAUUGAGCUUGUGCUUUGGUAUAAAAUAGUUGUUAGUAUAUUAAAAAAAACUAAUGCAUGUCUUGGGG